rnacentral:rRNA from 1 species
AUUGAACGCUGGCGGCAUGCCUUACACAUGCAAGUCGAACGGUAACCGGUCUUCGGAUGCUGACGAGUGGCGAACGGGUGAGUAAUACAUCGGAACGUGCCCGAGAGUGGGGGAUAACGAAGCGAAAGCUUUGCUAAUACCGCAUACGAUCUCAGGAUGAAAGCAGGGGACCGCAAGGCCUUGCGCUCACGGAGCGGCCGAUGGCAGAUUAGGUCGUUGGUGGGAUAAAAGCUUACCAAGCCGACGAUCUGUAGCUGGUCUGAGAGGACGACCAGCCACACUGGGACUGAGACACGGCCCAGACUCCUACGGGAGGCAGCAGUGGGGAAUUUUGGACAAUGGGCGCAAGCCUGAUCCAGCCAUGCCGCGUGCAGGAUGAAGGCCUUCGGGUUGUAAACUGCUUUUGUACGGAACGAAAAGACUCCUUCUAAUAAAGGGGGUCCAUGACGGUACCGUAAGAAUAAGCACCGGCUAACUACGUGCCAGCAGCCGCCGUAACAC